rnacentral:rRNA from 1 species
GAUGAACGCUGGCGGCGUGCUUAACACAUGCAAGUCGAACGGAAAGGCCCUGCUUUUGUGGGGUGCUCGAGUGGCGAACGGGUGAGUAACACGUGAGUAACCUGCCCUUCACUUUGGGAUAACUUCAGGAAACUGGGGCUAAUACCGGAUAGGAGCAUCUGUUGCAUGGUGGGGGUGGGAGAGUUUUGGCGGUUGGGGAUGGACGCGCGGCAUAUCAGCUUGUUGGUGGGGUAGUGGCAUACCAAGGCCUUGACGGGUAGCCGGCCUGAGAGGGUGACCGGCCACAUUGGGACUGAGAUACGGCCCAGACUCCUACGGGAGGCAGCAGUGGGGAAUAUUGCACAAUGGGCGGAAGCCUGAUGCAGCAACGCCGCGUGCGGGAUGACGGCCUUCGGGUUGUAAACCGCUUUCGCCUGUGACGAAGCGUGAGUGACGGUAAUUGGUGAAGAAGCACCGGCUAACUACGUG